GUGGGUAGCCAACAGGAGGCGAGCUUGAGAACAAUUACAAACUAUUGCAUAAAAUUCAAAAUUAUAGAAAAUACAUCUAAACAUUGAGAUCAUCUAAUGAAGUGAUCUGUGUGGGAUGAGGUUAAUGGAAAGAAAGCAUUCAGAGAAAAUAGGAUUUCAGGAACUGUUAUGGUGGAGAAAGGAAGAGCAGAGGCAAGUGAAAGAAAAAGGACCAUUUGGAGGAAUAGAAAACCUGUGUGUUGGAAUGUCUAACGGAGAACCAAAGCAAUCUCACCAUUGUGGAGUCCAGAGCACCCAGGAUGACUUCUGAAUCUCUUCUGCUGCCCUAGUUUCCCUAAAAGAUUCCUUGGCAAACCACGUGAAUGAAAGUAUGAUCAUUAGAAAAAGGGCAUUUUAAAUCUCUGGUCUUUUUCAAAUUAAAAACAUACAAGGGGCACCUGGCUGGUUUAGUCGGUUGAGCAUCCAACUUUGGCUGAGCUCAUGAUCUCACAGUUUGUGAGUCCAAGCCUCACAUCGGGCUCGCUGCUGUCCAUGUAGAGCCUUCUUCGAAUCAUCUGCCCCUGUCUCUCUCUGCCCUCCGUCUCUAUCUGCCCCUUAACACCCCCCCCCCUCAGAAAUUA